GAUUUCCCGGGGAGGUCCUUUCUGGGCCCCCGGCGAAGGUGGGGGAGAGGCGGGCAGGAGCCGAGCGAGGCCGGGGAGCCCUCGGCGUCAGCUGCUGCUCGCUGCGCCGCGCCAGUACCAGCCAGGACUCACCCGAGGCUCCAUGCUUGUGCCCGGUUCGUCUCGUCCAUCCUCCGAGAAGAGGCAGCCCAUGAGGCUCCCAGUCCCCACUGAGUGCAGCCCUGAAGGAUGUCCCAGCUCUCCUCCACCCUGAAGCGCUACACAGAAUCGACCCGCUACACAGAUGCCCCUUUUGCCAAAUCAGGCUAUGGUACCUACUCCCCCUCCUCCUAUGGGGCCAACCUGGCCACCUCCUUCCUGGAGAAGGAGAAGCUUGGUUUCAAGCCUGGCCCCUCCACGAGCUUUCUCCCCCGGCCCCGCACCUAUGGCCCUUCCGCCAUCCUGGACUAUGACCGGAGUCGCCCUCCGCUGAGACCCGACAUCACCGGGGGUAGUAAGCGAGCUGAGAGCCAGACCCGGGGCACUGAGAGGCCUUCAGGCAGUGGACUCAGCGGGGGCAGUGGAUUCCCUUAUGGAGUGACCAGCAACUCCCUCAGCUACCUACCAAUGAAUGCCCACGACCAGGGAAUGACCCUGAGCCAGAAGAAAUCGAACAGCCAAUCAGACCUGGCCCGAGAUUUCUCCAGUCUCCGGACCUCAGAUAGCUACUGGACCUCAGACAGCUACCGGAUAGACCCUGCAAACCUGGGCCGCAGUCCCAUGCUGGCUCGCACCCGCAAGGAGCUCUGUGCCCUGCAGGGGCUCUACCAGGCAGCCAGCCGCUCUGAGUACCUGGUGGACUACCUGGAGAACUACAGUCGCAAGGGCAGCGCACCUCAGGUGCUCAUACAGGCCCCUCCCUCAAGAGUCCCUGAAGUUCUCAGCCCCACCUAUCGUCCCAGUGGCCGCUACACACUGUGGGAGAAGGGCAAGGGCCAGGCGCCUGGGCCCAGCCGCUCCAGCUCCCCAGGGCGAGACACCAUG